CGUAAUUGCCUUCUGUGGGUCUGUGUUGAGCUCUGGUUGGCUCCAGUCAGUCAUUUGUCGGCUUACCUGUGACACACUGGCUUUUAUUACGCUGAUUGUUGCCAUAAAUUAAGUUAGUUGCUAAGUUGAUUGUUUGGGGUUUCUUAGUGAAUUGAGUUUGCCGUUUGAUUUAAUUCUUCUCUGUGCGUACACCAGUGGUACUGGAUGUGGUAGUUUGCCUAACAUUUAUUCAUUCUCUUUGGUUGGCUGCUUGAUUGAAAGCUCCGAGCUUGUGACUAAGUUGUUAUUGCCUAAAUUCUGACCUGCUAUUACUGGACUUGCUGAAUUCUUGGGGGCAUUUGUGGGGAUUUUGGGUGGAUAUGUGUCCAAUUGCUGAAAUUUGUUGCUUUGUUUAAUCAGUCGCAUUGCUCCUAGUUUGCUUGAGUGAAAUUGGUUGGACGUCCUUUGCCCGUGGAGUUUAACUGGUACAUUGUUUGGAAUGAUUUUCUGGUACUGAUUGACUUGUUGGGCUUAAAUUGCUCAGGGCUUUAAAUUGCUAAUUUGGUGGGCCAUUUAUUACGCACUACCCUUUUGAAUUGGGAGAUACCUGUGCUUAUUGGGUUGAUUGUUGACUUCAUUAGAGGAUGUUGAUUUCUACUGAUCUGCAUUUACUUGUUCCUCUAUAUGUUGGCAAUUUUGUUUCUGUUGAUUGGGUUACUUGUUAGCGGCAAUAGUGAGAUCAAGGUUCUCUUCUAGGUCCAGAAUCUCUUGACCUUAACCUACUCCAACCCAACUCAACCAAGCCUCGCCUCACCCACUGCUGUGGCCCUGCCAUGAUCUCCGUGAUUUCAGGGAAGUACCGUUGUUCUUUUGCUUACUAUUACUGUUUAUUUAGCACAUUGAGGGCAAUGUGUGAAUUAGGUGUGGGGGGGGUCAGUUUGGGUGCUAGUAUUUUUAGUUUUUUUUUUGUUCUAGAGGUUUUUCCUUUGUUUUAGUUUGAUAUUUAUCUCCUUUUUCGUUUAUUUUAUUUCCUUUUUUUUUUCUAGUGGUCAGUCUUCAUAUGAAUACCAAGUUUGAUGCUGGAUUGUUGUCUCUAAUUCUGCUAUUGCCAAGUAUUAUUAACAAAAGGAUAUUAAAUUAAUGUGGUUGAGUUCAUGAACAUCUCUCUGGUGAAUAUCGGUAAUUGCUUGACUUUUCCAAUUUUUGGUUAACUUUUCUAGGCAUGGGGAAUGAUAGUUGGCAUUUUUUUUUAUGUGAAUUGGUCCAAUUAUUAAUUUUAGUUCUCCAUAUUUGGAAAUUUGAGGCUGGCUGCUGUUAUCUUUGUGUUAUUUUUAGUUAUUGUGCUGUAUGGUUGUAAAUAAGAGCUGACUGUACUCUGCUAGUAGUUACUACUAAGUAACCGGGGAUCUUCACCUAAAGUGUCGAUUUUCGCGUCAAAAGGUAGUAAUUGCUAUGAGUGCGUGGUCCUGUAGCGAUUGGAGCUGAGUAACCGGGCUCCUCCAUCUAUCAAAUGUUGGGGUUCGCGUCAAAAGGUUCUAAGGGCUAUGGACUAAGUCUUUUGUUACUCAAAAAAAAAAAUAAAAUAAAAUAAAAAAUAAAAUAAAAUAAAAUAAUAUAUUGUGUUAGUAUGUGAACAAGUCAGCUUGUCGGUUUGUGAUCUUAAUGUCGAGAUUUUUAUUAAUAGUUGGACCAUUUACUGAUAGAUGUGAGCAACCAUUCCUUUUCCUUAGAUUAGUUUGCUUUAAAUUGGAGGAGUUGGUGAUUGGGAAGCUAACCGGGUGGUUUUUCUUUGAUUUUAACCCGUGAUGCUUGACAUAUGUUUUUCUGGGUACCUUGGCAAUACGGUAGUUGGAACAAUAGCCAUUAUUAAAUUUCGGUAUUCAAUUGUUGUUCUCAUGCUUGAGGGCAAGCAUGAUUUAGGUGUGGGGAGAAUUGAUAGGGCAUAAUUUGUUGUUAAUUUUAUGAUUAAUUUCCCUCUUUGUUCUUGCCAAAUAUUGUUUUAAUUGUUGAAAUGUACUUAUAUUUGGUAUUGGGACUUAAUUUCAGGGAAUGGAGCAGGAAAUUACGAAAAAGGGGAUAAUUUCUGGAGAAAAGGGAGACUUCUAAAAAACUUCACAAACCUGGCCCGCGUUGCUGAGAAGAAACGGACUUCCAGCUCCCUUUUGCUGACUAGGAGUCUGACUAUGAAGAAGAAACGAAAAAGAAGGACAUUGAGACCUUUUGUCUUUUCUUUUCCUUAUCUUCGGCAGAAACAAACGGAAAUAGGGGGAGGCUGAGUAGCAUUUGGAAACGAAAAGAAUAGGGAGAAAACAAUUCGUCAGAGCCCCACUUUUACUUGUACUCUUGCUCAAUUCGGUAGGGACCGCACAGGGGCUCAAAACAAGGAGGUG
rnacentral:lncRNA from 1 species